rnacentral:lncRNA from 1 species
GGAGAAGCAAAAAAAAGAAGAGAGGGAAGAAAAAGAAAAGAAAAGAGUAUCCGGAUCACUAUUCAAGUUUUUUUUACUAUUUCUUCACGAGAGUAGGAUAUUAAUUUUUAUUAAAAACAAUAUGAAAAAUACCAAAUAUAUCCUACCCGUUAGAUCUAAUAGUGUUUAGAUCUGAACCGUUGAUUUAAGAGUAUACAAUAGGGCUUACCACACCAGAUUAAAACCCCAACACAUCUCAGCCCUUGAAAAAAUCUGAGCUUUGAUCCCGUUGCGCCACGUCACCCGGUGUACCGAGACUUAGGUGCACCGCGGCACACCGGAUCACACCUCUGUUCAUCCGGACCGUCCGAUCAACCUGCAGAUCGGGCCAAUCACAGCCGCAUGAUCUUUCCAUCAGAGAUCCAACGGAUCACAAGCAUCAACUGCACCGGUGUACCGUGCUAGUGUUCUCACCGUAGCAAAGCCCAGAGCAUCUCUCUCCUCUCGCCGGCGACUCCCUUUCUCUCCUCCGAUCUCCCAUCUCCGGCCACUGCAAGCUUGAAAACCACCACAGAAAGGUCGCCUUCAUCAUAUAAAGCAAAACCCCGGCCGGUUUCAGCGUUUUCGCCGCUCUAUUUGGCUGAAAACGGGCCGCGAUUCGUCGGCUGCCACCGAAGCUUCAAGUCGUCGAUUCUCGCUCAUCAGCCAUCAACGACAGUCAAGACCACCACCAUAAGAAUCCUUGACAUCAGAUCUACCAGGAUCGACCAUCUUUUGGCCAGAAAUCGCGCCGGAAAAUCUCCCCGCCGCCAACAGUAGCCGCGCGUGUGCCACACGCGCCGCCAGUGGCAUUUUUGUAAAUUUUGGAGAAAUCCAAGGGUAUUUCAUUAUUUUGCCUAUACAGUGGCACUCAGGUAAUUUUUCGGAGUUUCUACUGGUAUUUUUGAUAUUUUUUAUAUAUAAAUGCUUGUAAAUUUUCUUGCAUGUUGUAAAAAAUACAAAAACCAAAGUCGACACGUCUCUUUUUUUAAAAGGACCGAUGUCAAAAAUGUAAAUACUAAAUAUGGAUUAUGUCCAUUAUUUCUUUUGGUAACCCAGAUGUAAUUCUCCUUUUUAGGGACAAACAUCAAUAUUUUAGACGAGUCUCCUAAUUUUUAGGGACUGAUGUCAUUUUUAACGUGUCUCCUAUUUUUAGGGACCGACGUUAACCAUUUUUUAAAAAAACAAAUUACCAAUAAACCCAAAAUAUAAUGGAUUAUAUCCAUUAUUUCUUUUGGUAACUCAGACGAGUCUCCAAUUUUUAGGGACUGAUGUCAUUUUUAACGUGUCUCCUAUUUUUAGGGACCGACGUUAAUCAUUUACAAAAAUUUACAAAUAAGCCCAAAAUAUAAUCGCAUUUGAAUCAAAUAAAAACACACAAGUAAGGGUAACCUUUCUUUUGAAAGGAUGUUUUAAGGGUGGUGUCUACCUUCCCUUAAUCAUAACUAACCCCGUACCCGAAUCUCUGGGACCAGUGUCUAAUUUGGGAUUUCUAGUUCCCUCAAAUUACUAGAUGGCGACUCCAAUAAAAUCUUUGUUUCCCCCAAUUGAGAAAAAACCCUUUUUGUUAAAUAAACAAAAAAAGCGGGAGCCGUCGCCCGACGUCGUGUAUCGACACUUGUCUACACUGAGAAAAAAUUUCAGCCCUUGAUUCAGUUGGGAAGGAUCUCAACCGUUGAUUCAAAGUAGGCAUGGUGCACUGUCAAAUCUGCAGUUGUAGGCUGCCUGAUUUGGCGUCUUUGGGGUGGUGCCACGUCCGUUUCUUUGCCAGUGAGUCGGUGACGACCAUACACAGACGUAGUAGAGGGAUGUCUUGUGAUUUAUUUCGUGCAAGUUUCGUCAAAUUUGGUGGACGUUAGGUACAUUAAAUGCAGCUGCAAAGUAGGUAACCGAACCAAUUUUUCGAGGAAAAAAAUGAAGAAGAUAAUGAACAGUGUUGAACGACGCGUCGUUUGACCGUUUUUUUCCUUUUAUGAAACGACACCGUUUUAGGUUUGAAUUAGGGAUUUUUGCCGUUCUUCAAUUUCGUCCUCCAGCUUACAUGACGUGCAAUUGUACCCCUAAUUGACCCUAAAUUUUUGAUUUAAUGCGAUUAAGCCCCUGAGAACUUCAAUUGCGAUUUGGUUCUUGGUCUCGGAUUUAUGCAAUUUAACCCUUAAUUGACUAUUAAACUUUUGAUUUCUUCAAUUUCACCCCCGAUUUUUGUCAAUUAAGCCCUCUGGCACCUUUUGCAGAUUGGUCAUUGACUGUAAAUUUUGUUAAUUUAACCCCUAAUUGACCCAAAAACUUCAAUUUUCUUGCAAUUUUGCCCCUAAUUUCAAUCAAUUAACUUGGAAAAAAUUAAAUUUGGUCUCUUAAAAUUCCAAUAUUUUCAAUUAAGCCCAAAUUAGGCUCCCAAACUUAAUUUUUCACCAAUUAAGCCUCAAAUAAAAUUAAUUUGACCUAUUUAAAGCAUAAUUAAGUCCUUGCACUUAAUUAAAUCCUUUAAUUGGAUCCAAAUUAAUUCUUAAAUAUAAUUAAAAUUUAGUUUUGCCCAUGAUUAAAUCAAAUUGGCCUAUUCAAAAUUUAAUUAUGUCAUUGAACUUGAUUUUUAUGCAAACUCAUCCAAUAAUCAUUUAAUUUGACUUUGAAUUUAUAUUUUUUUGUUUUUGUGCAUAAUAGGUACAAUUAGGCCUUAAAUUUCCUCUAAAAUUGCUGCUUAAUUCCCGAACCUGCUUUCUCUUCUUUUCCAGUCUUUAUUUCAUUUUUGUAUUUUUAUUUUUUUAAAAAAUAAAUUUUAGAAAAUAACCCAGAAUUGAGUUAUUACCUUCUAUAUCCAAAAUGCAUUUUUCACUUCUGCAAUAGUCAAAUUCCCACUCAUUUUCACUAACUUCUUAUAAAUUUCCUCCACCAAUUUGGUAAACAACAUGCCACUCUCUUCCAUUAACAAACCCACCAUCGCAUUCACAUUACUACACUCAUUUCCAUUCAAAAGUUGAUGCUGCUGUUUUGGUGUUAAUGUUGCUCGCUUUCUCUUCAGGGUCUUCUUUGGUUGAUCUUGGCCGUUCGGCUUAGACUCAUCUUCGCCGUCGAUUUCCAUCUUCACCACUUCGGCCAUUGCCUUCGCUCCAAAUCGAAACCCAAUCUUUGGGAUUUUUUUUUUGUUGUUGUGGAAAGGAUGAUACGACAGUGUUUACUUGAACUAUGGGGUUUUCUUCUUCGAUGUGCUUCUCGGGCAAGGAGGAGCCCUUGAUUUCAUUUCUCCCUCCAUCUCUUCUUUGAUCUCUUUUAAUUAUCUUGUUUCUUUUUAAAUUUUCAGAUUUUCGUUUUUUUUUUGAAAAAUGGGAUAUAAGAAUGAGAGAAGAG